CCGGAACCGGCUAACGAACCGGAAGUUCAAGUUUGAAACGGAAACGCGCCGGAGACCAGACGGCUGCUUCUCGUGUUUGUCUUUGGUGAGGCUAAUCCUAUAUAGCUGCUAUCAGGGAUCUCCUCACCUGGCGACGGAGCCAGGCCUUUCCGAGACAGUUACCCCCUGUUCAGAUACCUACGAUCCCUGGAUGGCUGCCCGCCCUCCCCCGUUCUGCGCAUGCGCCCUCUAGUGGGCGCAGAGCUGGCGGGUGCUUCAGGGAUUUGACGUCUUUGGUAUUGUUUCGCCAAAGUCGGAGGUGGGUCAGUGGUGUUGCGCUGACUUCCCGGGGGGUGCUGAGACCUUCGUAGGACUCUGCCGUAGGACUCGUGUGGCUGUGUCAUGUUCCGGAUGAGGGCUAAAAGGUGACCUUUGAUGACUGAAGACUUUAGACUCCCUCCUUGGCAUCAGGGGCUACCUGCACUAGUGAUUUUAGGAGCCUAAACUUCUACCCAUUUUAUCCAGUGUAAGGGUAAAUUGAGGACCGUCAGGAAUGGGAAGGGGCAAGCCUAAAUCGCUCAGAAAACCAAGGCAGCGAAUCUCAGUAUGAGAGCUGCUAUCGAGGUUACUCCAGUAUAGAAUUUUGCCUCCACCUGCCCAUCCCCGCCCCCACUCCAUUUUUCCCUCUGAAUUCGAGGUAAGCCAUUUACAAACCCUGACAAAAGAACUGUAGAUUUUAAUGGAAAUUCAGAGCAGUUCCAAUCUGAUUCAUACAAUGAACUCCCAACGUGCAUCACUUGAUGGCAGACAGGAGGAAACAAAAAAAUAAAUUGCCACUAGAUUGUUGUAUAUGGCGCCAAGCAAAACUUAAAAUUUUGAAAAGGAAGGGAAAAUGAGCAUAUUGGCCUCACAUAAGCACCAGUCUUUGAAUUAUGUAUUUUUUUUCCUUCUAAUUGGCAGUGAUGUAACUGAUUCAGGUUUCCCUUUUGGCUGUGACCAAGAGAAGCAAAGAACCAAGUUUUGUGUCCUAACAAUUUUUUAGUUAAGGCAAACACUAUUUUAUGUUCUCCUUACCUCUCUCUUUUGGUAAUUUUUAUUGCACUAGUAAUGCAUGAAAAGUCUCUCAUUUUUAAAAAUGAAACAUUUUCAAUAAAAGGAAAAAACUAUAUACCCUCUUUCUUUUAAAAAAAAAAAAAGGGGGGGGCGGGGGGAGAGAGAGGAAAGGAAAACCCCAAAUUAAAAGAAUUUGUACAAGAAUCACACAUUAACAGUCCAGCCAAAGAGAUGGUCAAAAACCAGGGAUUGAACUCUAGAAUGAAUUACAGUUUUCUUUCAACCCAGUCUAUACCUUGUUCAUGUGCUAACCAGUUGCUUGGCCACUUUAUAUUUUUUUGCUGUUAUUAGAGAAGCUUGUUUUUGUUCAUCAUAAAUGUCAACUAAAGCAUUUUAAAGUUUAAUUCUAAGCAACAGGAAUCAUAAAGAGAUUCUUCUUUUUAAUAGUAAAAUAGCCAUUAAAUGAAAGGUCUGAUAAGUUUGGUGUUCCCAGAGUGUGGAUAACUUAAUAAUUCCUAAUUGUUGAACAGUGGUAUUUCUCAGAGAAUAAUGGUAGCAAACUAUUUUGGACAGAGUCCAUCUAACAGAUGAUUUACCCAUAUGUCAGUUCUUCCAAGUCCAUUUCUAUUAAGGUAAACAUUCAUGAAAUCAAAAAUUAUGUUAAGAAUAAAGGAGCUGGAUUCCUGGUAACUAGGAAUAAAUACAAAAUGGACUUUUAAAAAGUGCUCAUAGCAACUCACAAGUGCCAUUAGGAAGUGAAUAAUUAAACUUCUGCCUCUUGUUGCUCACUAGACCCUCUCUUCUAAUGUACUUGUGCCUCACUCAUAAUUCGUUGAAGCAACUAGAGGUCUGGGAAUUCCGAGAGUUUCAGUAGGUUGUUGGGUCUAAGAUACUAAAAGAAACAUGGAACCAAUUUCAUAAAAUCUGAUGUUAAACUGCUGUUAUCACUGUGAUCGUGUUUGGAUUGUGAGGCUAAAGGACAUUGCUGCACCCCAGCCAGACAUCCACUACCACCUUGCUUUUACCUCCAUGUUCCCCUGACCUGUUUACUUCCUUCCCCUUUCUCUCAUGCCAUUUUCUUUCUCUCCCCCCCCCCAGUUGAAAAAUACUUCCCUUCUUUCUUUCUUGUUUUCUUUCUUUUAAAUUUUAGUUACUACAGCACUUUAUUUCUCUCAUCUAGAAUCUGUUCCCUUGACCUUUCUCUGACUGCAGUCAGUGUGCUGAACAUGGUCAGAAUCUGGCCCAUAUGGCAGACUCCACAGUAUCUUAACUUGGCCUGGCAAGUUUACUUUCUCUAUUUAGGUUGCUUUUCCAAAUGGCAACUGAAAACCACAACUGUCUUUAAACCUCAGAUCUUCCAGUUUACAUCCUGUUCUUGGCAGAUGACUUUCUCUUAUAUUUUUGAUAAGAAAAUAGAAGGUCUCAAAAAGGAAUUGCUUCAACUUCAGACCUCUGAAUCUAUAAACUAAAUUAUAUCUGUACUUGUCUUUGCCUCUUUUGCUUCUAUUUCAAUGUGGUAGUUUCCUUCCACCUGAAGCCAACCCUUAUACUUGUGCUCUGGCUCCUUCCUUCUCAGCUUUCUUUAAUUCUGUUAUCCUCUCUCACACCUAUAUUUUUAACCUUUCUCUCUACUGGUUCAUUUCCAUCAAUGAUAAACAUGCUUUGAUAUCUGGCCAUCAAGAUACCUUUCCUUUCACAGCUGAGAAUUUCAAAAAAAUUUUCUUUAAUGUUUAUUUAUUUUUGAGAGAGAGGCAGAGUGCAAGCAGGGGAGGGACAGAGAGAGACAGAAUCAGAAGGAGGCUCCAGGCUCUGAGCUGUCCCACAAACCGUGAGAUCAUGACCUGACCAAAGUCGGAAGCUUAACCAACUGAGCCACCCAGGCAGCCCUGCUGAGUAUUUCAAACAUUGUUUAUAUUUGUGUAAACUUGAGACAAACUGUAAUUGUGUAUUUAUCUCAAAAAAAUUGUUUAGUGACAGUCUGUCACUAUAUUGUAAGCUUCGUGAGGAAACAGACCAUAUCUGAUUAAUUCACCAUUAUAUUUUUGGAGUCUAGCAUUGAUGUUGGCUAAAGCAGGUAAUCAAAUAUUUGCUGAAUGGAUGAAUAUUAAUGAAGAAAACAUCAAGUAAUGAGAGCUUGUUAUACAAUAAUACAUAUUAUGCAUAGAAUACUGCAUAUCCAUGAAUGAUGAUAAUUUGUAUAUGACUCUAGAUGCACGGGAAAGUUCUGACAUACACACUGAAAUGUUAACAGUUCACGGCACCAUAGGAUGCACUCAGUAUCUGAGUAUACUGAGUAUACUGAGUAUCUCAGUAUUUAAAUGAGUGAAUUAAAAUUCUCUCUUGAUGGCAUCAUAGAGGAAGUGAUUUUCAUCUUGUUUAUAUUUUUCUAUAUUUGGAUUUUGAAAUGCAAUAACUUUGCAUUUUUUAAAAAAUUCAAAUAAAAGAGAUAUAUCCUUAACACAUAAUUUUAUGCCUAUCUUUGCAAGUCUUUUCUAUGCUGUAGACGUUCACCCAUUUGUAUGCACAGUUUAUGUGUAAUUAAAAAAAUAAUUACAGAUUUACAGGCAGUUGCAAAAAGGGAGAUCAUGUGCACCCUUCACUGAGUUUUUUUUCUAAUGAUUAUGUCUUGCACAGCUAUACUGCAGUAUCAAAACACUAACAUUGGUACUUGUGUUUACAUAUAAUUCUAUGCCAUAUGUUACACGUACAGAUUCACAUAACCACUACAGUCAAGAUACGGAACUCUUCCAUCACCACAAAGAUAUCCUUGUGCUGCCCUUUGUACCCACCCACACCCCCAUUCCUCCUCCCAUUCCUAACCCUUGGUCACUAAUUCGUUUCCCAUCUUUAUGCUUUUGUCAUUUCUAGAAUGUUAUGUAAAUGGAAUCAUACAAUAUAUGCCUUUUUUAAAAAUGUUCAUUUAUUUAUUUUGAGAGAGAGAGUGAGCAUGAAUGGGGAAGGGGAAGAGAGGAAGGGAGAGAGAAGAAUUCCAAGCAGUCUCUGCCCUGCCAGUGCAGAGCUCGACUUGGGGCUUAAACUCACGAACCAUGAGAUCAUGACCUGAGCCAAAAUCAAGAGUCAGAUGCUUAACAGACUGAACCACCUAGGCGCCCCAAACAUAUGUCUUUAGAAAUUUUUUUUUUUCAUUCACUGUAAGACACUUGAGAGCUAUUCAAACUAUUGUUUGUAGCAACUCCCUUUUGUGGCUGAGUAGAAUACCCUGGCAUGGAUUUACCACAAUUUGUCUAUUUAUUCACCAGUUUGGAAAUUUUGGGUUUUUUUUUUUUUCAGUUUUUGGCUUUUACAAACAAAAUAGACCAUUUAUAGGUAAUGUAAUUACUGAUAUGUUAACGCUUCAGUCUGCCAAUUUAUUGUUUGCUGUUCCUUCUUUUGGUUUUUCUGUUUUCUUUUUCAUGUCUUUCAGCUGGUUACUUGAAUACGAUUUUACAAUUCCAUUUUGAUUUGUCUGUAAUGUUUUCAAGUAUAUCUUUUUGUAUAAAUUUGCAAUGGUUGCUCUAGGUAUUACAUUAUGUAUACAUAACUUAUCACAGCCUACUGGAGAUGGCGUUUUAUUAGUUUGAGUGAAAUAUAAAAACCUUAACUCCAUUUGAGUUUCUUUACUCUCCCCAGUUUGUAAUUUUUUUUAAGUUUGUUUAUUUAUUUUGAGAGAGAGCACGUAUGCAAAUGUGCAUGCAUGGGAGCAGGUGAGGGGUGGAGAGAGUGAGAGAGAAUCCCAAGCAGGCUACGUGCUGUCAGUGCAGAGCCCAAUGUGGGGCUUUAUCUCACAAACAUGAGAUCAUGACAAGCCGAAAUCAAGAGUCAGACACUUAACUGACUGAGCCACCCAAACACCCCCAGAAAUUUUUUCUUUAAAUACUUCUUCAGGUCUACCCUCUUUCUCCUCUCCUCCCAGGACUCUAGUGGCACAAAUGUUAGAUCUUUUAGUAUAGCUCACAGGUCCUCAAGACUGUUAUUUUUUUUUAAAUCCAUUUUCUUUUUAUUGUUCAGAUUGGAUCACUUCUAUUAUAUAUCUUCAGGUUUACUGAUUCUUCUGUACUCCUCUAUUCUUCUGUUGAGCCCAUCCACUAAUUUAAAAAGUUUUUUACUUUAGGAUAUUGUAAUCUUUCAGUUCUAAAAUGUCUAUCUGUCUUUUCUUUAUGUCUUUCAUUUCUUUGCUGAAACUUUUUGUUUCAAGCAUGUUCAUAAUUGUUUAUUGAAUCAUUUUUAAUGCUGGCUGUUUUAAAAUCCUUAUCAAGUAAUUCCAACAUCUGUGUUCUCUCAGUGUUGGCAUCUGUUGUCUUUCUCAUCCAAAUUGAGAUUUUCCUGGUUGUUAGUAUGAAAAGUACCUUUCUACUGUAUCCUGAACAUUUGGGGUAUUACAUUAUGGUACUCUGGAUCUUAUUUAAAUCUUCUGUUUUAUCAGGCCUUCUCUGACACCACAGAGUGGGGUUACGGGGAUGACACCUUAUAACUUCCUGGUCAGGGUAUAAGUUCAUAUCCCCAUUAGGCAUUCUUUGUCACCCCAUGUGACAAAGGGGUGUAUAGGAGUGGGAGUUCAGGUUCUCCACCAGACUUCAACUGAAAGCCCCCAUAGUUGGGAGGUAGAAGGAUGCCUCAUCACUACUCCCCACAUGGCCUCCACUGACAUUAUGGGAGAUGGGCUUGCGGGAGGACCACAUUUCCAUUAGAAAAUGGUAAAAGUUCUGGCUUCCCACUCAGCUUUCUCUGACACUAUCCUGGUAGAGGGUUGGGGUACCUCAUUAUAGUCUGGCAUGAGUGAAAGUCUACAUUUCCCACUGGGCUAUUGCUUACAGGGGUGGGGGUGGGACCACCACUUUUUCUGAUACUUGGUUGGAGUAUGGCAGUAUGUUGGGCGUCUCCAAGAAUACUCUCAUGUUCAGUGAUACAGCAGGAGUACUCACAGGACUCAAUGUACAGUUGUAUUCCUCAAUGAUACUUUCAGUAAAUGUUACAAAGCAUAAUCAGCAAAGGAAAAUUUUUGUGGAGUGAAGUCUAGAGGAAACCAGGCACAAGAUUCUAAGAGUUCUCCCCCAGUAGAAUUGCCCAGGAUGCACUUAAUUUUUCCAUCAGUGAAUUGUGAGAAUGGGUAUAACAUGUUGUCUUCCAGGGAAGUUCAUUAGAAACUCAGUGCCCAAGGUUUUUUGGUCUGGUCAUAUAGGUACCCACUGCUUAGCACCAAUUCCAGACCCUCAAAAGGAAAGCAGAUGUACAGUUUAAACCCUAUCAUUUGCAUGAACAGUCAAGGCACAGUGAAGCAUCUGUAUCAUUUAAGGAAAGUUUAAUAAUCGGUGUCGGGAACUAUUUUUAUCAGUGAAGUUCCCAGAGGCUAGCCAAAGGCCCACCUUGCAAGCAGGACGUUCUAUGGCUCAGGCCUCUCAAUGUUAACCUUUUUCUGCAUGAGUGGUUAUUAACUGAAUGUUUCUUUCUUGCUAGGCUCUUCCUUUCCUGGUGCUUUGUCUAGAGAGAGCAGGCUUUUGGGGCCUUUUUUGUGUCUGAGCCUGCUGGCAUUUCUAGGUUGCCUGCAUCUCCAGCACCCAGUCUGAGAAAUAUGAAGCAAAAAGAAAACCCAGGGAAUUCACUGCCAUGUCUUUCAAGGUAACUAGCCAAUCUGCCUUUCUCCAUCUUUUCAGAGUUUUCAUGUAUUUGUUUCAUAAUUCCAUCCAGGGUUUUAGUUGAACUUAGCAGGAGGGAUGGGGAGAAGUGUAGCUACUCCACCUCGUCCCAGACCUGGAAGUCUCUGUGUUACUUUUAUAAUUAGGAAAAAAGUGAGUUUUAAAAUUUUCAUUGUGUUCAUUGAAAACAAAAUAUGUAUAUUACAUAGAUUUAAUUGAUUUUAUUGAAUUAAGAACGCUUAACCUGAGAUCUAUCCUCUUAAAAAAAGUACCAUAUGGUAUUGUUAACUAUGGGCACAAAGUUGUAUGGUAGAUCCCUGGAACUUAGUUUUAAGCCUGAAAUUGGUAGGCUUAGUUUAAAUAGAGGGUCAAGGGGUGCCUGGGUGGCUCAGUCAGUUAAGUAAGUGUCUGACUCUCUGAUCCACUCAGCUCAUGACCUCACGGUUUUGUGAGUUUGAGCCCUGCAUCGAGCUCUGUGCUGACAGUGCAGAGCCUGCUUGGGAUUCUCUCUGUCUCUCUCUCUCCCCCUCUCUCUCUGCCCCUCCCCUGCUCAUGCUGUCUCUGUCUCUCUCAAAAUAAGUAAAUAAACUUAAAAAUAAAUAAAUAAAUAAAUAAAUAAAUAAAUGGUCUAGAAAUUACCAACUAUAGGGGAAAAAAAUCAUGACUUGAUUGCACUUAUUCUAAUAGUAAAGUUUAUUUCUCCCAAUAAUGAAAAUAAUGUGUAUUCAUUAUAGAAAAUUGAUUUUACUUUAUUUAGUAAAUGGAAUGAAAAUGUUAAAGUCAAUAAAAAUUACAGGGUGACAGAAGAUCCAGAUUCAUUUAACUUUGCCAUCAUUUUAUAGGGAAAAUAUCAAGAGGAGAAAUUUUCCUAUAGUUGAAACAGGCCCCCAUAGAUGGCCCUAUAGCCAGUUUUCCAUGCCCAGUGUUAACUGCAAAACUUGUGCUUCUUGUAUAUAUCCAAAGUUGUGCAUUGGAGGUUGUAUCUUUUCAGUUGUGGGAGAAAUAAUUACAAAUGUCCCUAUCCACAAAUUCUAGACUAAUGAACUAUUUCUGAAAUGAAAAUUUUAGUAUAAUAUAUUGCUAACUAAUCAACAUUCAAUUUGAAAUCUUAAACAAGAACAUCAAAUUGUUAUUAUGUUGCAGCAUUUCACAUUAUAAUGGCAAUUUCAUUUAUUUGUUUUCUUUAUCCAUGGUGACUCAUAAGUGUAUAAAUUAAUAUCUCCCAUUCUUUAAGAAAUAUUAAUGAAAUGUCUAGACUGUUACAAUUUAAACAUUUACAGCAUGACAAAGCAAGCUUUGAUCACCAACAAGCUAUCUGUAAUGAAUAGGCUACCAUUAUUUUAUUCAUUAGAUUUCCAGUUGUGAGGAAACAUUUCUUUAGCAAUGUGUUUAUGUCCAAAGAGCAUUAGAUAGGGUUCUAAUGCAGCCUUGCCUAAAAUUAUCGUCCUCGAAGUGAUCAAUUUCUCCUGACCUCAGUCCCUGUUUAUAAAAAUGAGUUUACUGAAUAAUCAAAAGAUUUUUUUUUAAUUCUAUAUUUCAGAAUCUCUAGGGUUUCAUUCAGUAGUUCCCAAAUAACAGCGUGUAGACCUGUGACAUAGUUUCCAUCAGUUUUCCACUUGCAAAAUGACAAAUAAAAAGAUCAUGUAGUACAUUGGAAAAAUCAUGUUCUUUCUUUUUAUUGAAAACUAGUAUUGCCUCUCUCUUGUUCACAUUUAUCUUUGCUGGAAUUUCCAGAGCUUCAUUAUUCACAUUGAAAUAAACUUCACAGAGAGUUUACAUUUUUAGUACUUAGAAUUUCAUUGAUAAUGUGAAAGUGGUACUGUUUUUGAUGCUGUAUAAAUAUUACUUCAGAUGAUUUGUUUUGAAAUAUUUUUCCUAAUUUUAAAUAACGGAAACUUAAUCAGGCUGGGUUGAGCCAAAAAGAUGGGGCUGGGGAGGAAGGGAGGCAUCAGGAGGGCAUGGUACCUGACCUAGGGAAUUCGUUGAGUGUUGUUGAAGCAGGAGCCAAGGCAAGUUUAAGGUCGUUAACAAUAAAUCUACAGACCUUAUUUACCCCUAGAGUACUGCUAUGAAUAUGACUCUGACUCCCAGUCUAUCACUCAGGUCCAAAUCCCCAAGUCCUGAGAUCUACUCUUACUGGCCUAACUAGGUCACAUUGAUUCUGGACCCAUCAACUCCUCAAAGUGCAUCAGGUUCUGCCUGAGCCUGCCCCUGUCUCCUGGGGAGGGUUCUUAGAGAAGAGGCCUCUCUGUAAGGCCAAGCAGCCACUCCUCAGGUGUCCUCUACAUUGACAGUUAAUGGUGUUAAUUCUCUUCCUGACAGCUCUCAGUAUUACUUUUUCUCUUCUUAACAUUUUAGCUAAUUCAGUGUUCAUUUAUCCACUCUUUUGUUUAACGAUAAUCACAUCUUAUCAAUAAACAAGUCAUUCAUUUUCUUUUUCUCCAUCCAUGUCACAGCUCUUCAGAUUUACAUUAACUUUAAAUUUUGCCACCUACAAAUUUAUUUUAUGCCAUCACUAUUACUAGCCUUUAUAAGAAGUAUUAAACAGUUCCAAAUUAGUUCAUGGUUCUCAAAUAUUGAAAUGUUUCAUAAUUUAAAUUAAUAUGAAUCCAUUAAUUUUUUUCUUAAACUUGCUCCCUCUGGAUUUGAUUACAUUUUAAGAACUCCAAUUAUGACACUAGUCAAGAUUAUUAUUCUCCUUUUGGUAUAGUGAAUCUAACCUGUAACUUUUUUCUCUUCACUGCUUUCCACCAUAUUUCUAAUUGGCAGUAAUCAUGAUAGCAGCUGUUAUUUAUUCAUGCAAGCACCAUAGAUGUGUUAUUUCAUUUAAUUCUCACAACAGCCUUAUGGAUGUUAGGUUAAAAUUUUUUUGUCCCAAAACACAAAAAAGGGCAAACUCUGCAUUCUGCAUUUGGCCCAUGGUUUGAGAAAAUCAUUGGCAGCAGUCUGUUUAAAACUAGAAUCUGUUGCUUGGUGCUCUACCUCUGACCUUGGUUUAACUCAAUUUCUGCUUCCUCAACAGGGCUGGGGAAUGCAGCUUCAGGACUCCAAUAGCAUAUCACUGGCAUUGCUUUUUACAUGUAUUGAUUUGUAUUUCCAAUCAAUGAUUAGCACAUCUGAUGUCUGAUACCAUUCCCUCCAGAGGUCUUCUGUAACAACUGAUAUGGACAUGAUACUUUGACGACAAUGUUACUGGGGAGUUUAAGUUAAACAAUUGAAAUACUAUUUUCAGACUAUCUAGAAACAGUGAAAAUGACAUUCACCUUUAAAUAAAUUUAUAAACACUAUCUUAAAAAUUACAGUUCUGCUGAGCUUCCAUUUGAGCAAUUGUGUAAUCACAUAAUGACAGGAGAAAGACUAAAGAAGAGCAAAUUGAAAAAUAGUUUAGGAGACAAAAUUAUUAUGUUUUCCUGGAUCAGUAGAAGAGACUUGUUUAAUAGCAAUAUCAAAAAUAAUAUACUUUUUGUAGAAAUUGAAUAAAAUGGAAGCAAUUUACUAACAAAACUCCUAUUUAUGUGAUGUAUAUUUAUGAAACAUUGUCCUGAGAACUGUAAUUCUAUAAUGUUUCCAUUUGAGCACUUGUAUACCACUUAACUAAUAGCAAUAAAACUAAAAAGA
rnacentral:lncRNA from 1 species